UCUCUCAGUUCGGAUUGAAGUCUGCAACCCGACUUCAUGAAGCUGGAUUCGCUAGUAAUCGCGCAUCAGCCACGGCGCGGUGAAUACGUUCCCGGGCCUUGUACACACCGCCCGUCAAGCCAUGGGAGCCGGGGGUACCUGAAGUGCGUAACCGCAAGGAGCGCCCUAGGGUAAAACUGGUGACUGGGGCUAAGUCGUAACAAGGUAUC
rnacentral:rRNA from 1 species